AACUGCAAGUACAUGCCAAGGAAGGGAAUACAGGGGGUGUGGAAGGGAAGAACGGGUCAGAGGGAGACGUCGAUAGAGAAGGCGAGUGAGAAAGCGAAAGGGGAUCAGAGAUGAGGUACACCUAAGUAUGUGUGUGUUACUGCGAGAGAGCUGCUUACUUGCACUUACACCACCGCAACUGCAUACUGCGCUCUCUGCUCGCUUUAUUACAUAACAUCCUUGAACUUGAGCUGAGCUUGCCAGAGUUUCCUUUUUUUUUUCCAAAUGAUAUACACAUACAUAUGUAUAUUUGUGCAUAUUCUAUGUUCUGGCAGUGGGACGCUACUCAGCUCCUUUCACCACAUAUGUACGAAGAUAUAUGUAUAUGUAGCUUUCUUCUGCCUGUGGGCCCCACAUUCUUCCCUUUUCUCUGUACUGGCUCGUUUCUUCUCUCUUCGCAUCGGAAGCUUUCGGGCUUUUUAGCAGCGACAACGACGGCUCUGCCAUUUUCUGCUGGGCUGCACGUUGGCAUUGAAAGUGCGGCAGGCGAGCUGCCAACAACGCUCCAUUCCCAGCAAAUUCCCAAAUCGCAACCAGAAGAAUUCUAAAAAAAAAAACAACAACAACAAAAAUACCUUUAAAAAAAAGCCAGCAAACAAUUCCUCUAUUAUUCGUUACAAAUUAGACACGCAAAUGACAUCAACAGCCAAAUUGAGUUUGUCAAAACCAACCCACUCGCCAUACCAAAGCAAAUAACAAUGCAAAAUAAUUGCAAACUAAUUGUGUUCAAUUCUACGAGAAGUGCUUGUCAAAAAAAAUAAUAAAAACAAACACAAAAAUGUUAAUUAUGACCAAAAAUAAUUGAAAUCAUUCUAAAGUGCAUUCUACAAUGAGCUAUGAAAAUCAAGGAAAUGAAAAACGAGAGAUAGAGAUUUCAGAGAGUGCAAAUGCAUUUCACAACUAUUUUAAAUACGCGCUUAGAAACAAGUGAGUUCUUAUAUAAAGAAACUAAAAUUUAUAAACAAAAUAUUAAGAAUUAAGUGAAAAUUUAAAAGAAAAACUGAAUAUCUAAGAGAGAGGGAGAGAAUUGGAAAUCCAAUGGGAUCUCAUUAAAGGUGAGUCCACAAUAUUUGUUAUCUACUUAAAAAUACUUGCAAGAUUUCGUCAUCUAAACUUUGGGGAAAUUGGCAAUUUGCAAUACUAUUUCUAGGUUGUUAGAUACAAUUAUUAAUUAAUAAAAACUUUAAAAAUUUGUCUUCCUUAAUUUCGUGAAUAACUACCUAAGAAACAUACUUGAGUUCUAAUUCUUAAAACCUUCUUUAAAAUAUUGAUUCAUUUCCUUUGUCCCAUCAAAUCAAAAAACCUAAUUAAAAAUGUCAAUGUAUGCAUUUUCGUAUCCUUAGCUUAAGCUUUCAAAGCUCCUUGAAGCUUUUUUGUUUGCUAGGAUCAAGGGAUGAGGAUCUCGUUAACCCCUGAAAUUGUUUUUCAACGCUUUUGUUUUGUUUUGCUUUGGCUAGAAAAAGGCGUCGUAAUAAAAACAGGAAUCCGCAAAAAGCAAAAGUGAGUUGCAAACACACAGAUAAAAGUGCGCAGAUACAUGGAUACAUUUUAGGGAUGAGAAAGGGGAGGAGAAUAAUGAAUGAAAGAAUGGUAAAGAGAGAGAGAGAGAGCAAGCUAGCGAGAGUGAGCCAGUUUGAAGGCCAUUGCGGAGAGAGUCACAUGUGCUUUUCGGGUUUUCGAGAGGUGUGUGGGGCAGUAGGGCAAAAGUGGAAGAGAAGACUGCCCGAAAAGCAGGCCCAAGAAACAGGAACAGGAAGAAUCGACAAAACUUGACGAAAGAUAGAGAGCACCAACAAGAGCGAGAGAAAGAGAGAGCGAGAGAUUAGAAGUAUUCACCAGUAGAUAGAAACUCUGCCAGAGUCAACGCCAGCAGAGGCAGCGCUGCGGCAGAGGCGAGAACUUUCCAUGGCAGACAAAAAAGCGGCGACAUUGAACAGCGGCACCUUCAACCGAUCGCAUUUGUUGCCUUUCGAGUCAAGCUAAUAAAUAAUUCAUAAUAUAAUAAAUACAAUACAAAAUCCUUAAAAAUUAUUCCAAAAAAAUGUUAUUAAGUUCGUCAAAGGAUUAAAACUUAUUUUCGCCUUAAAAAGCCUUACUAAAAACCGUUUUUCUCCGUGCGGAAAAUCAAACAAAGUGCAUGUUAGAAAACGUAUCGAAAAAGUAUCGGCAAACACAAGCAAAGAAAAAAGAAAUGUGGCAGAAAGCAGCAGAAUGGUGGUGAGCUGCGUCAGCAUGGAAAUUUAAUUAGCGACAGUUCAGUUCAGCUGAGCAGCGUUUGGUUGAAGAAGAUUGGACUGCCCAUUGUCCUCACCCCCUUGCAAAAUACCACCCACCAAAGGAGAAGAAGAAAAGUGGGUUGAGGAGAUUUCGUUGAUUUUUGCAUGACGACAGCAAAAAGCGAAAAGGCGGAAACAACAAUCGAAAUGCAACUGCACAAGUGUGUGGGUGUGUGGGAGCAGGACAGACUAUAUAAUACAGACAUGCGCUCCCUCUCUCUCAGCGACUUGAACUUGAAAACUUUUUACUGCCGGCAAAUUGAAAGAGAGAGAAAGCAGAGGAGAAGGAGGAAGAGCGAGCAGCAGCAGAGAGAGCGCUCAGCAGGUAUGUGUAUGUGAAUGUUAUCCAUUGAUUAAGUUAAACAAAAACAAAAUCAGAACAGAGCGCAAGCUUUGCUCUCGCAGCUUUUGUUUUAUUUAUCGCGCCAUAGAGAGCGAAAGCGAGAGCGUAGCUUUUGCGUGGGCGGCUUAAAGCAGCGCCGUCGACGUCGCUGCCGACGUCUGCCAACUGUUUGCUGUUUUGUUGUAGGCACAUACUGUUGCAUACUUAAGGGGAUAGGAGGAUACGUGGGGCGAAAAUCGAAUGAAAACGUCAGGCUGGAAAGUGAAGUGAAAAGCGGGAAAAGUGGAACCAAGGAGUGGGAAAGAGUGGGGGUGGCGUGACCUCCACCUGUGCGAGCCCAGCUGCAGCUUCCCUGCUGGCCAAGUGUUUAUUCGGUGACUGGCGGGCGACCGAUGAGGUCAGCAUCACGCAUACGCCUAGUUAUCCCCCAUAUCCUGUUCAGUGUGUUAGUAUUAGUGUGUUUUUGUGCUUGCGAUUCGUUCCAAGUUCAUUUUAAAGGCGCGUCACCCAAAUAGCAAAAUCAGGUGUGGAGAAUUGAUUAGUACGGCAAAAAAAAUGAAAAACAAAAUGGUAGAAAAAUACAAACAAUAUGGUUGGUAUUUUGCGUAUGUGUGUGUGUGUUGUACUUACAUAAAACUCAACUGAAGUGACGCACGCCAGCAUAUGGCAAUUAAAUUUGAAUAAUUAAGCAGCUGAGAACGACACGAACCGAACUCUCUUCCACACACACACACACGCGCACGCACCCAUAUACCUUUUUGCCAUAUGCAACACUCGUUGUUGUUAUCUUGCACCUUGACCUUUCCACACCCAUGCAGCAGUACGCGUGGGCAGCAGUUGGAUACUUAGAUACACACGCCCCUUUCAGGGGAUCGGAGAGAUAUAUAUACUCGUUUAUAUAGAGCAACCCACAAGUCGGCUGGCAGCUGUUUGGAGCCGAAUCAAAGGAGACGAGAUGCACGCCAAAAACACUUCGGUCAUUCUAUAGAAAAGUGGUCCAUUUGGACCAGCGCAGAGUUUCACAGAUGACACACGGGCCAUAUAUAAAGCAUGCAGACAAGUGCAGGAAAUAACAUAGUUCAAAUAGUGCUGGAUAUAUUUAUGAGUUCCCGUAAAGUUUAUUGAGUUUAUUAUUGCGAUUAGAGUAUGGAAUAUCAAGGAGAUGAGAUACAAAUAAUAGGAAAAAGUAACUUAUUUAUAAGACAAUUUUUAUCUUUUUCUAUAUCAUCACCAGAGAAGAUAAAGUUAAAAAAGGGAUAGAGAAAAAUAAAUUUAACUUUAAUAAAAAUAAUGAUAAUAACGAUAAGGGCUAGGAAGCAAAGAAUAUUUACGAGAUUUCUAUAUUAAAUUAGAUUUUAAAUUCUCAAUGCACUUAGAGUGCCUUUGCAUCGGAUUGCGAAAUUAAAAUAGAACUUACUCACAAAGCGAAUUAGUUAAGGCAGUUUAAAAGAUACUUACAAAAACGACAUAAACGGUAAAUCGUGCUUAACUUUAAACUAAAAGUCUCUUUAAUUGCAUAAACCAACAUUUUGCAAAUUUUAAGAAAAAGUCAGUUUAAAUUUUUGACGGGAACAGUGAAAAAAGUGACCAAAAAUUAAACCAAAAAAUGUAAAAAUUAAAAUAAAAAGUAUACUUAAAAAUAAAUCAACUUUAAAAACGUAUAUUAUACAAGUGCAGCUAAAGAAAACUCUUGUGAAAACUUCAUCUUGGCAACUUAGCAAGAAAAGCAAGAAAAGUGGUUUGUGUCUCUGCUGAGCUUUUGACGAAAAGCAAAAUUUUCAUAUGCAUCUGCCAUUGGGAUACACCCUGUGCUCGCUUUGAAUGAAUUGCAAGCAAGUGAACACAGCUGGUGGUAUCCAUUGGCCGUUCUUGCAUCCUUGCAGCUCCAUUAACUCCAAGGAUAAACCAUAGAGAACUUUCAGCUUAAAGGUAAGUUCAUGUUCAGAUCUACCAAGUUUCCUACUCAGGAUAAUACCAUUUGUUUUGCAAGUCCAAUUUAUCAAUAAUUUUCAUUUCGUUUAAUUGUUUCUUACAUUCCGUUACAAACCUAAUUUUGCCAUACUAAAAAAAAAAUGGGAGAUUUUCUCUUAGCCAUAAGCUUCAGUUCGAUUCAACAAACUAUUCAUUUUCUACCCAAAAAGAAAAAAGAAAACAAUGAAAAGAAAGAUAAAUUGGAAUUUGAAUAAAAUAAUCUUAAGACUUAAGAAUCGUUUAAGAAAAUAAUCAGUGAGAAGACAAAAAUUGCAUAUUAGAUUAUAUUCAGCAUUUUCUUGUUACACACACAUUCAGAAUGUUUAUAAUUUGGCUUUUCGGUUUCGGCUUCUCUUUAAGUUUUCCGCUUUGCUCCGAAUUAACUUUUUUCUUUUUCAAAUUCAAAAUGCAUUUGUAUUUCUCCCAACGCCAGACGCACAUUUCGAGGGGCCUUUGAGGUGCGAUAAUGGGCGCAUCAAAUGCAACGCUCUGAAAACUCUGCAAAUCAUUAAUUAUGGCCCGCACGAAAAGCAAACCGUCCGUAGUAAUGAGUGAAAUUUUGAUCAGCUUUAGAAAUCGCUGGCAUAAACAAUUAAAAACAUCUUCAUGCUGUAAAUUGAUUUUGUUUCUCUGUGAUUUUUAUCUACCUACUAUAUAUAUAUAUAUAUAUAUAUAUAUUGUGUAUAUGUUUAGUUUUUCGCCUGAUUUUUCAGUUUUCACCCAGUCGCGUGCAUUUUGGUAGCAAAACGAAAGCAAAGCCAUUUGGCAUUUUCUAUUUUCGUUUCGGUUCGGCUUUUUGGCUCAAAAAAAAAAAAACGGCACUCGACCAACUGCCAAUGCAUGGCGAUUCGAAUUGGCCAAGAGUUCUUGGUCCGAACUGCAGCUGUGCGAAAAGGCAACUUGGUGACAUUAUUUCGACAUUUGCCUGCUCGCGGCUGCAGCCACUUUUGUCACUUUUGCAUUUCAAAUGACCGUCAAUUAUCCUUUGUCGACACUCCCCUUUGUCUUUGUCUCUUUCGAUUUUCUAUUUUCCUUUCUUUUUUUCUCUCCUCCCCUGAGGUCAAGGAAAACGAAAUUGAUUUUCUGCCCGAGCGGGUUUUUCUUUCCUUUACCACCCCACCUAUAUAGUAUAUGGGAACGUGUGCAUUUAAGAGUCUUUCUCUUCGUGUUUCUUAUGCAAUCUCGUUGUUCUGUCACUGUCAUGAUUUUCUGUUCUUAUUUUUCGCAGUUUGAAUUUUCAAAUUGCAGUGUAGAAAUCAAUUUUGCUCUCGGGGCUAACCGAAACAAUUAACUGGUGGGUAAUUAAAGAUAUCACCAGACUGUGCAUUAAGCUUGCCCGACGCAGUCUCGCCUUUCGGUGACCUCAUGACAAGUUUUAUGAUGAAAUUAACUGCGAUUGAAGUGCUCGCAUAUAAAACGCCAUCAAAUUCAAUAAAAACUCGCACUCAAAUAAUAGACAAUGGCUAAGCGCUGGGGCUUACGCAAUCGAGGGAUAUAGAAAUCAAGUUUAGGUUGUUUUAACGUCGGAAAUAACAAGUUGAUGGCCAACAAAUUAAAUCAUUAAUCGUUAGAGGGGACUAUUAUAGUUAAAUACACUUUUUUAUUAAGUCAUCAUAUCGAUCUAUUCAAAUUGAUCUGUGGAUGAGGUGAAUACAAAAAUUUUAGAAGGGUUUAAUUUGAUUAACUAAAAGUUGAGUUAGCAAAAGGUUAACUUAAUAUUUGGGGAUUCAUAUUUGGGACUUUAUGGAAAUAAUUUAAUUUUCCAACUCAUGAAAAUCAUUGAUUCUGUUUAAUCUAAUCGAAGUUUAUCGAUAUAUUAUUAGGAACCUUAUUAUUAAAUUAACUUUUAAAGUUAUCGAUAGGAUAUAAUCAUUAUCUAUUAGGUAGAAAAAUGAACUAGACAAUUUCUUCAGAUGUUAAAAGCAAAUAUUUUGACAUCUUCAAAGAAACUCUUUUCCCAGGCAUCAAACUGCUUAAGUUUUCCCCAAGUUUGUCAUGACUUCGAAUAGCCCAUAAACUAUUUCAUUGACUUAAAACAUCUGUCAGCGCACUUGCCAUCAUUUAACGCCCAAGAUCGUGUGCUAGUAGCACUCGUUUUAUCGAAAUAAUAUUAUAAUGACAGUAAGGAGCAAUAAUCACACGAAAUGCAUCAGGUCGUGCAUGACGAGAUUAACAAUACCGAUACCAGCUGUUGGCCUCAAGCGGAACAAUCGCGUUGGGAAAGCGGAAUUUUCAAUUUAAGGUUGACCUUAGAACAAAAUUUGAUCGAUAAUUUCGCAUAAUUGUGGAAUCUCUCUCUCUCGCAAAAAAAAAGAAAAACACAAGAAAAAAAAAAAAACUGUGACACAUGCACACACACACAAAUACAAAACGCACACAGCGAAACAUCACCUUGAACAUUAAACUGCAACUGAGGGAGGGAGAACGAGAUAGUGACAGCCAGUGACAGAGGGAGAAGAAUAGAUAAAGAGAGCUAGAGAUAGGUUUUUGUUUGCGUCAUGUGUGCAACUGCAUGAAGCUUUUGGUUUCCGCUGUGCCUUUGUGUGCGAGUGUGGGAUGAGAGAGCUUUUAACUGAAAGCUUACUCUCUUUGUUUCUCUCUCUCUCUCUCUCUUUUUAAUUUUUUAUCGUCUUAGCUUUUUUUGAACGAGCCGAGCAGCUGACAGUUGCGCUUCAGCAUUAGACCAAAGUAGUUUGACUUUUAAGUUUUUAGCCGCGAAAUCAAAAGUGUCUGUGUGUGCUCGCUGGUGUGUUCGUACGACUGUGUGUGUGUGUGUGUGUUGUGGCAGCUGCAUUUGCAGCGAGAGACAGAAAUACAUUUCGUACAAAAAUUCCGCCCUGCAUUUAGUAUAUUUCACCUUAGAGCGUCUUUGCCACACAACCAAACACUCACACACACGCACAUACACACACACACAAAGUAGCAAAACUAGCGACAGACACACACGUGGCCAUCAAAACGGUAUCGGUUCGCGUCGCGUUUGGCCUAAAAUUGUAACAGUUUUCCUUUUUACAACAACGAACAUAACGAACAAGAAGAAGUAAAGCCAAAAGAAACGCAGCUGCAGUCGACGUCGCUGCCAGCUGCUCGCUGCAAUCGCCGACAUUCGUUUCUGUUUGGCCAAUUGCCGUUGGCCAGCUUCAGUGUUCAUUUCCCCAUCGAAACGGCAACAACGAGCGGAAGUCGCAAAAAACAGAAUAACAAAAGGCAGAGCCAACGGAGCAGUCGAUCGAUCCACACAAGAACAGCUGAUUAAUACUGCACUUAACAUCGUUUCAUAGUGUGAUUUCCCAAAAGCCCUGGAUUGCAUAAACAUAAAUUCCUAUACCCAUAAAAUCCCAAAUAUUUUUUCGGUGGCGUAUACGUAAUAUCAGUUGAAUAGCUGUGCACAUCUGCCAUUGCAAUUGCAAUUCGCUGGGCAUUAUGCAAUGGCACAAACAAAGAGACACCCUGUAAUUGGCAUGGCGAAUAGGCAACAACAAAACAAUGCAUGUGCAUUUACACACACACACACACACGCACACGGGUGUAGUUUUUGUGUGUCUAGUCGGGCAAUUUGUUUAAAACAAUCAGCGGUCUCUCCUCUCAUUCGCACUCAUUGCAGUCACUGAUUUAAAUUUAGUAUCGCUGCAAUGGCUUGUAACCCAAAUUUGAUGCAUCCUUCUCUUUCUCUCUCUUUUCCUCUCCCUCUCUCUGUUGGUUUUUCUCUUAUAUAAGAGAUGCUCAAACAAAAGCAUUAAUUGUGGAAAAUGUUUAACUACUACUGCUAGGCAAUCCCCAUCUUAAUUUCAAUCUCAAUUAAAGCCUGACUUUCGGCGACUUCAAAGGAGGUAGAUAAAAUUCAGGCGAGGGCAAUUAAAUCGGAGGCACUUGCAAUCCGAGAGCAACAACUCACACUCGGCCACUUGACCUUGCACGGUUUCGCCAUGCGAAUAUCACACACACUCACCAUACAGUACGUAUACGUACUGUGGGCCAGAAUGUGUUCGUGUAUAGAGAGGUAACACAGAAAAUUGCAAUAUUUUGUGUAAAAAUAACGAACCGACUUUUACAUAAGGCCAUCGGUACAUAGAGAAAAACACAUAGACACACGCUAACACUCAUCACAAAUCGCCAUUCACCUGUCAUGGUGUGUGAGUGUAGUGUGGGUGGGUGUUAUGAGGUCGAUUUUUGUUGUUUUUGCCCCUACUCAUAGUCAUGUGUGUGUGUGUGUGGGUGGAUGACUGAAAAAUGCAUUUGACACAGAAAACAGGCGUGCAAACACAAACAGAUAUCGCAAGGCAGAUAUUUCCAAAGCCAAAGAAAAUUCACAAACGACAAGAAAACGAAACAACAGCUUAUCUUGGAAAAAUUUCAAUGAUUCAUGGCAAAAAUCCCCUUUUGAUUGAUUUCAUGUCAAGAUGUUAGAGAAAAACCAGUUUAAAGCCAUGACUAAAACUGUCUACAAAAAUUCACAAAAACUUGUUAAAGAUUUUAUGCAAAAUUAACUUAAAAUUAUUUUCAAAUAAUUUAUAAAUUUCAUGUCUGAACUUUGCAGUCUGCUAUAUGUUAUAAACACAGCAAAUUAAAUUUAUAAAUAUACCUUGCAUAUAGCUUGUUUUUUUUUUAUAAACAAUUCCCUCUUGUUAGAUUUGCAUUUGGAUUUUGGACCUUAACUGAUAUCAGCAGCCGGUGGCAGACAGAAGUUGUCAUCGCUAAAACAACCUCUAUAAACAGAUAUCGUUAUGACAUCAUUGUUGGCGGCACUCUGUGAUGGAUCAUUGACUUUAUACACUCAUACCUAUAUAGUCAGUCAGCCUCACUUAUAUCGAUUUAGAGUCCUAAUUUGUCAGUUCACCAGACUAAAAUGAUUAGCACUUGCUGAUAAGCUAGCUUAGUCUAGCAGUUAGUAUUUGUUUGGCAUUUUAAAAGACAAAAAUGAAUCACGUGUUAUAGGCAUUUCAAAAUUUCGAAAUAUAUAUUUUUUUUUGAAUUAAAUAUAUAUAUAUUUAUACUCAUAUAUUGCGAAAUGUUUGGCUAACAGAAGCGACCUUCAGCCCGGACCACAAGGUCGUUCGUUCAUGGGGAGAUGGCAAUGCAGCAGCAGCCUGCAAAACUACUCCGCAUGGAGGUCGAUCUGCCACCCCCCAUCGUUCGCUCUACAGCAGUUAUGUAAAAAGGGAAAUUGGGUCAGUGUUAUGACCUAGUUUUCUUUCAACCCCCUACCCCUUUGAAGGCUAGAAGGGGUAGGGGGAAGUCAAACAAACCCCCUAGCAAGUUGCAGUUUGAUUAGUUUGAAAUGGGCUUUUUGGCACCUCCGAUAAUUACAAUUGGAUGGGCUUCGUGACGCCGCUUAUUGAUUUUUAGUCAAGCCGUCAGGCUUAUACAUAUAUAUAUAUAUAUAUAUAUAUAGUAUAGCCAACCUAGAUAACUUUGGGCUGGCCCAAGAGUAUGGGUAUAUCUAUCGGAUACACGGCACCAUCCAUGGCCUGGCCGCCUGCAGUCGUGAGCUUAGCCAAGGAGCCAAAAAUAAAAAUUCUCUUUGGCUACGAGCCAAAUGCAGUGCACAUUGGAUUGCUUUGGAUACGGGCAAGGGUGUGGAUUGGAGGGCGGUGUUCAUUUGCAGGCGAAAAUGAAAAGUGAAAUGUUGCCAUGCCACAAAGUCUGCAAUAAAGAGAAAAAGUAAAAGCAGGGAAAUUUAUCUAUAUUUAUUUGCCAGAAUGCUGACAUUUAUUAGUUUUGGCCCAUCCAUUGAAUUAAGCCAAAUAGUGCUCUAUAAAUAUGGCUAAACUGCAGUUGGAUGACAAAUUUAUGGCCGACUGCAUAACUCAUCUAUUACCCACUUUUGGACACCCGCCCCGCUUUGCCGUUAACCCUUUUUUGUGUUGCAAAUUCAAUGCACACUUGUAUGUGUCACUCUACUUGCCACUUAUUACACCACCCAGAAGGCUAAAGACACGCCACACGAGACAGUGCUUGAGUAGGCCUAAAGUCUAUAGUCUAUAGCCUGAAACGAUUUGGGUCAACCUGAGCCUGAGCCAACAACGACAACAACAAGCGUUUUUAUUGAUGUCUUUUCAACCAGAAGUCGCAGUUCGUUUGUUGUUCCUUGCAAAACAGUUUAAACUUUGAUGAACUCAGUCGUCAGUUAUUCAAAGAAAGUUUUCCUAAGUAUCUGAAUUAUUUAACUGUGUUGAAAGGAGUUUCCCAGAAAGCAAACAAGCUGAAGAAAGUGUUUCCUAAAGACUUAAGCUUAGGAAACAUUCCAAGAAACUUGCGUAUUUGGUAGUUUUUUUCACAUAUAUAUUUCCUUUUAGUAAAUCUUUUUAGAAAUGACGCCCAUCUGUGUAUUAUUGUUUUGGUCGGACCUUCCCCUAUUUCUCCAUAUACUUUCUAGUUCCUCUUUCAUACGCACAAAGCUCUGAUCUUUAUGAUCUUUCAUUUUUAGGUAUCACGCCUCUAACGCAUGACUCAGUUCGUUUUCUUCAAUUCUUUAAUUUUAGACGAAUACGAAUAUUUGCCAUAAAGCCAAAGCCAAAAAAAAAGAAGAGAAAGAAACGUGUUCGUCAUUAGUUAGCUGCGUCAAUUGCGGGCUCUGUUAUUUAUAAAUGCCGCUGGGGCAGCCACGUAAAUGGUGACGGAAAACGAUAGAGCCUGUUGGAAUUUCUUACUUCCAGCUAAAUGCUAAUCGUGGAUACAACAAAAUUCUUAUCGCUAUGUUGCCAGGCAAACUACGCAAACAGACUAAAAAAUCUGACGAAAAACAGCGAAAAAAAAACGGAAAUCAUUCACAAAAAUUUGUAUAAAAUUUCGACAGUCAGACAGUUAGGGCUCUGUUUUGCCUUUUAGAAUUGUCUGGCUGAGUUUUUGUUGUUGUUUCCCGUCUGCAGAUAAAGAAUCGAAUAGCAAACAUUCCGAGUCUGUGAUUACGUAUACGCAGCGUUCGCCGAGCGAUAGGUUUUUCCUCCUUUUGCGGGUGCGCGUGUGAUUUUCAGCCUACGAAAUUUCAUGAAUUCGUAUCUGUUUCUGAGUCAGUCGAGUGUGUAUUUAGCAGAUAAUAAGUGCCAGAGUUAGUGUGCGUGUUUUUCUGUUGGUGCGGCUGAUCAUGCGACCCACGGAAUAAAAAGAGGAAGGGGAAGGUUCUCUCUCUUUCUGAUACUCUACGUGGGGGUACUCCGAUUUUGAUAGUUCGUUUGUUACUUAAAAGAAAUAUGAAUUAUCCGCUUGCUGAGAGACCCUCUUGGAAUGUAAUUAUUACCAGAUACCAGAAACAAAGUUGGAAACCCUAUUAUUUUUCCCACCUCAGCUUGCUAGCUUCAUAUUUCACAGUAUUCUUCUAGCUCUUGCAAUUCUUUUUUGGCCAAGCCAAACAGUAAUUUAUUUAAGUAACGUUAUGGCCCUCCACUUCGGUUUGGUAACACUUCGGGUCACUUCCGGUGACGACAACUUCUUUGAAACUCUCUGUUGGCUGGCAGUGGCAGCUUUUAUGACCCAGAUAAAAGUAAACGUGUUGGUCAACGCAAUGUUAUGGAAAAGAGAGGGGCAACCCGGAGGAGGCACUGAAAAACUGGGUAUCCAAGGGGCCAUCGGUUCAUGAAGUGCUAAUGAAAAAUGCUCAGCAUUUGCCUAAUGAAAUUAUAACUGAGCCACUAAGUGGGCCAUAAAGAGGAGCAAAGAGAGACCCAGUAGAAUUAGGGGGUGAGAAGAAGGUGUUUUCGGGGCAUUUUAGAAAUUUUUCAUUCAGCUAGCAGGUCGACCAUCGACCAUGUAACCCAUUUAACGCACAUGGAAACGAACAGCGGUUUGACAGGCGGCGGCACCAGCAGCACAUGGAAGCACAAUUUUGUUUCUUUAUUCAGUUAACGCUUUUUAAGCUCAUGAGCUAGCUUUUCAUUUAUCAAUACACACAUUUGCUCGCACAUAGCGACACAAAUGAACAAUAAUUUAUUUAAUUGCCCGAGCUCUUGUUCUUUCGAAAUUAGAACACACAGCCACUAAUACACUCACUGUUUACUGGCACGCGAUUAAAAACUAAAUGGUUACACACAUAUUAUGAAUUUUACAAGCUAAAACAGUUUAUUAUCUGCCAGAUAUUCUAUAUGUUUAUGUGUCUAUGUGUGUGUGAGUGCAUAUAGAUGACACAUAGCGUAUACGCAGUGUGUUUUUUCUCUUUUUCUUAAUUGCGAAAAUGUUGUUUUUCGUGCUUUGUUGCCCCACUCAAGAUUCGUUGGUUAUGGAUUUGAUUCUACAAUUAUUGUUAGCAUUGGUCUUGUUCCUCCACUUCUUGCCGUUUGUUUGUUGGCUUACUGAUUCGGUCCCAAUGGCCAAUACCCAAUGCUCAAUGUUUUGGCCUCGUUUUUGGAUUUAUUUUCCGUUUAUGCGCCACACCUCGAGAGUCAAGUAAAGAGGCAGCCAAGCAAGUCGAAAUUGAAGGCUGCCUGCAUUGGCCAAACUGCGCCCCUUUUUGCCAGAAUUGAAAUGAAUCUCUGCUCCAGAAAACAUUGGGAACUUGCCUUUUCGAUUUGAUAUUUUAGUUUAGGCCGUUUUUGAGUACAUAUUACACAAAUUCAGCAAUGGAUUACUUUUCUUGAGCAAUCAUUUUAUAAUCGCCCUGCUUAUCUUAUCGCCCCCAAACUAUUCGAAUGUGGACUGCCAAAGGGCAUACCAUUCAGUUUCCGCCCAGCUUUAACCAGCUUACAAUCCACUGACUGAUGGGCCAGAACCAUAUAUAAGUUGAAAGGAAAAUAAGACUCAGGUCGAAUGACAUUUGGUGACACACAAACGACUUGUAUAACCGAUCGGCGAUCGGCAAUCAGCGAUCCACAUCGACCCACUUUGUAUAGGCACAUACACACCCCUCGAGACCCACCUAAAUAUAUAUACAUAUAUAUCGCUUCGAUCCGCUGGUUAUACUAUACAUAAUCACUAUCAGCUGCGCACCUUGGCACCUGCGACUGCUUAUCACCUGUUCAGUGAGCAUUGGGGGAUCGGGUCCCCAGCUCAUGGUUCAUUGUACCCGGUUUUCCAGUCUCAUUCCCAUUUCCACUUCACUUUUGUUCUGCAUGCUUUUGAGCUAUGUUUUUGGAGUUUCCUUUUUUGGUUCAGUUCUCUUUUUCCAAUUAACCAAUAAAAGCCACCAGAAGAUCGAUUGACUGCCCCACCAAAAACAAAAAUAAAAAGAAACGCGACGCCGCGCCGUGCUGAACAUAAUUUUGUUUGUUUUGUUUCAGUUUUAAAUAUGUAUAUAUAUAUAUAUGAUGUAUAAACGAUAAUAAUAAUGGGCAUAAAUGCAUCCUUAAAAAAGUUUUGGGCUGCGUGUCAGGAGUGCAUUUGCACUGAAACAUUCUGAAGCAUGUAAAUGCACUAUCUGGUACGACAUUCCAGAACGUACAAUCUUCCCGAAUGCAAGAAAAUGCGAAUAAUAAUGAAAAUAUGCAAUUUUUGUGAUAGUGUGUUAAAACAUAAUUCUCAAAACUGAUUAUCUUAACUAAAUAGUUAUAAAUAAGUUUACUUUUUAAUCUUAAAUAUAUGUAAGAAACUGUUUUUAAAUAAAGAAAAAUAUAAUAAAAAAAAAUAUAUGAUUAUCUUCUAUGAAGAAUUUUGUAAAAGUA